rnacentral:rRNA from 1 species
GAUGAACGCUGGCGGCGUGCUUAACACAUGCAAGUCGAACGGGAAGAGCUGUUUCGGGUGGGGGACGGGUGGGGAACGCGUGAGAAACACGCGGGGGAAGUGGACCACUAACUGGGAUAGGCAGGGAAUACCCUGGAGAAUAAGGAGCAAAAGGGGGCAUCCGCCUGGGGGGGGGGUGGAAGCUGCGGCGGGGGGGGAGGGGGCCGCGGCCUGCUAGGUUGUUGGUGGGGAGAUGGUCUACCAAGGCAAUGAGGGGUAGCGGGGGUGAGAGACGGACCAGCCAGAUUGGGACUGAGACACGGCCCAGACUCCUACGGGAGGCAGCAGUGGGGAAUAUUGCACAAUGGGCGAAAGCCUGAUGCAGCGACGCCGCGUGCGGGAGGAAGGCCUUCGGGUUGUAAACCGCUUUCAGCAGGGACGAGGCGAAAGUGACGGUACUUGGAAAAGAAGCCCCGGCUAACUACGUG